rnacentral:rRNA from 1 species
UGGGGAAUAUUGGACAAUGGGCGAAAGCCUGAUCCAGCCAUGCCGCGUGUGUGAAGAAGGCCUUAUGGUUGUAAAGCACUUUAAGCGAGGAGGAGGGUACUGGUAUUAAUACUACCAGGUACUGGACGUUACUCGCAGAAUAAGCACCGGCUAACUCUGUGCCAGCAGCCGCGGUAAUACAGAGGGUGCGAGCGUUAAUCGGAUUUACUGGGCGUAAAGCGUGCGUAGGCGGCUAAUUGAGUCGGAUGUGAAAUCCCCGAGCUUAACUUGGGAAUUGCAUUCGAUACUGGUUAGAUAGAGUGUGGGAGAGGAUGGUAGAAUUCCAGGUGUAGCGGUGAAAUGCGUAGAGAUCUGGAGGAAUACCGAUGGCGAAGGCAGCCAUCUGGCCUAACACUGACGCUGAGGUACGAAAGCAUGGGGAGCAAACAGG